GUGGGGAAUAUUGGACAAUGGGCGAAAGCCUGAUCCAGCCAUGCCGCGUGUGUGAAGAAGGUCUUCGGAUUGUAAAGCACUUUAAGUUGGGAGGAAGGGCAGUAAGUUAAUACCUUGCUGUUUUGACGUUACCGACAGAAUAAGCACCGGCUAACUUCGUGCCAGCAGCCGCGGUAAUACGAAGGGUGCAAGCGUUAAUCGGAAUUACUGGGCGUAAAGCGCGCGUAGGUGGUUUUGUAAGUUGGAGGUGAAAUCCCCGGGCUCAACCUGGGAACUGCCUCCAAAACUACUGGGCUAGAGUACGGUAGAGGGUAGUGGAAUUUCCUGUGUAGCGGUGAAAUGCGUAGAUAUAGGAAGGAACACCAGUGGCGAAGGCGACUACCUGGACUGAUACUGACACUGAGGUGCGAAAGCGUGGGGAGCAAACAGGAUUAGAAACCCCAGUAGUCC
rnacentral:rRNA from 1 species